rnacentral:tRNA from 1 species
ACUAUACCGGUUUUCAAGACCGGAGCCAUCAACCACUCGGCCAUCUCUCC